CAGUAAAUAGUUUAUUAAAAAUUUUAAUUUUGGAGAUUAAGAAUGAGUAAAAUUACUCUUUACUGA
rnacentral:tRNA from 1 species